rfam:Streptomyces agglomeratus strain 6-3-2 2, whole genome shotgun sequence.
CGGAAGUGCCUUGCUGAUCCAGCGUGCUGGAAGCCUGAAGAACUCCCAUCAUCGCAGGUCACGAGGCACUUCCUCGUUUCUAGAAGAGUUAUCCACAGACGUCGGAUCGGUGGAUCAAG